AUGACUACAAUUACUCCCAUUUCACAGGGGAAGAGAGUCGAAUUAUCUUGGAGCUUCUCCUUUGAUACAACAAUUGUACAGGAACCUCAGUCAACUGGCCUGUUGUACAGAAAGUUCUUAAGCCUGGUGUCAAGAGUACUGGGAACCAUGAAUUCUCUUCUUGCCCCUGCGUCUUUGAAGCUGACCCCUGGAAGAGCAGAAAUCCUUGGCUCAGGUCCUGGAGUGGAUGGGAGACAGUUUACUGAUAAACUGAUUAAAAAUUUUGAAGAGGGUCAUGUUUUAGUCACAGGAAAGAAGAUAUUAAAUGUUUCAGAGAGAUUUUAGCUCAGAGACUGAGCUGAAAAUGAACUCCUCCUUGCUUUGAAGAUGUGGAAGCCAUAAUGAUUUCUGAGCAAUGCCACUACAUUCUGCCAUGCUUUCUUAGAUCAAAGUUUUUAUUUAAAUGCUUCAUACCCAAUAAUGUGAGAACUACCCUUUCACAAUUUAUGUUUUCCUAGGAAAGUUUGUACCCUCUACUGUACAUAUCUUACACUUUUAUAGAACUUUUGACCUCUUCAAACACUUUUCCAAAAGGUUUCUCAAUCUCUCCUCUAGGCCCCUUGCUCACCAUAUGGGUAUAAAUUUUCAUGGUACAUAAGAAACUUAAGAUCUAGAUAAUUCUUUCACAAUUGAUGAGCAGAAACGUGAGAAUUCAUAAGAGUUCUACUUCCAGAUCUAGCCUAACCAUUUUUUGUAGGCCCUUUGGAAAAUGACCUAAAAUUCUCCGAGUAACUAGAGAUUGAGGUUAAUAGUGCCUAUUUUACCAUGUAGGAUUGCUGAAAGAUCAAGAUCUGAGAUGCAUAUUUAAGUGUCUCUCCGUGGGUGUGGUGCCUGAAUUAUAUAAUGGGGAUGCCAUUUUCAUCCUUAGGUUGAGGCAGACAGGGAAAACAUAG
rnacentral:lncRNA from 1 species